CGUAGGGUGCGAGCGUUAAUCGGAAUUACUGGGCGUAAAGCGUGCGCAGGCGGUUAUGUAAGACAGGUGUGAAAUCCCCGGGCUUAACCUGGGAACUGCAUUUGUGACUGCAUAGCUAGAGUACGGUAGAGGGGAUGGAAUUCCGCGUGUAGCAGUGAAAUGCGUAGAUAUGCGGAGGAACACCGAUGGCGAAGGCAAUCCCCUGGACCUGUACUGACGCUCAUGCACGAAAGCGUGGGGAGCAAACAGGAUUAGACACCCUGGUAGUCCACGCCCUAAACGAUGUCAACUGGUUGUUGGGUCUUCACUGACUCAGUAACGAAGCUAACGCGUGAAGUUGACCGCCUGGGGAGUACGGCCGCAAGGUUG
rnacentral:rRNA from 1 species